ACUUAAGCAUAUCAAUAAGCGGAGGAAAAGAAACCAACAGGGAUUGCCUUAGUAACGGCGAGUGAAGCGGCAAUAGCUCAAAUUUGAAAUCUGGCGCUUGCGUCCGAGUUGUAAUUUGUAGAGGAUGAUUUUGGUUAGGUACCUUUCGAGUUCCUUGGAACAGGACGCCUUAGAGGGUGAGAGCCCCGUACGAUUGGAUGCCGAGCCUCUGUAAAUCUCCUUCGACGAGUCGAGUAGUUUGGGAAUGCUGCUCUAAAUGGGAGGUAAAUUUCUUCUAAAGCUAAAUACCGGCCAGAGACCGAUAGCGCACAAGUAGAGUGAUCGAAAGAUGAAAAGCACUUUGAAAAGAGGGUUAAAUAGCACGUGAAAUUGUUGAAAGGGAAGGAUUUAUGACCAGACUUUUUCUAGGAGAAUCAUCCGGUGUUCUCACCGGUGCACUUCUUUUAGUUUAGGCCAGCAUCGACUUUCGGCGGUGGAUAAAAGCUUUAGGAAUGUGGCUUCCCUCGGGAAGUGUUAUAGCCUAUUGUAUAAUACACUGCUGGGGGUCGAGGUACGCGCUUCUGCAAGGAUGCUGGCGUAAUGGUUAUCAAUCACCCGUCUUGAAACACGGACCAAGGAGUCGAACAUUUGUGCGAGUGUUUGGGUGUUAAACCCUCACGCGUAAUGAAAGUGAACGGAGGUGAGAGCCCUUACGGGUGCAUCAUCGACCGAUCCUGAUGUUUUCGGAUGGAUUUGAGUAAGAGCAUAAAUGUUCGGACCCGAAAGAUGGUGAACUAUGCGUGGAUAGGGUGAAGCCAGAGGAAACUCUGGUGGAGGCUCGCAGCGGUUCUGACGUGCAAAUCGAUCGUCAAAUCUGCGCAUGGGGGCGAAAGACUAAUCGAU
rnacentral:rRNA from 1 species